GUUUAUUUUUUACAAAAAGUUCUAAGUAACCUGUAAAUUCCAAAACACCUCGUGCUGAGUCACUAAAGUCGAGCGCACCCUAAAAGGUGUACUUGAUUUUGGCCAUAUUUAUACUUGUUUUAACCAAUAACUACAUUUAUAAACUUGUUUUAAGGAAAUCAAUGCUAGCACUGCAUGCAAUAAUCCUAUAUCUAUCAGUCAUCAAAUU
rnacentral:lncRNA from 1 species